rnacentral:rRNA from 1 species
CAGUCGCCGCGGUAAAACGAAGGGUGCAAGCGUUACUCGGAAUUACUGGGCGUAAAGCGUGCGUAGGUGGUGGUUUAAGUCCGUUGUGAAAGCCCUGGGCUCAACCUGGGAAUUGCAGUGGAUACUGGGUCACUAGAGUGUGGUAGAGGAUAGUGGAAUUUCCGGUGUAGCAGUGAAAUGCGUAGAGAUCGGAAGGAACAUCUGUGGCGAAGGCGACUAUCUGGGCCAACACUGACACUGAGGCACGAAAGCGUGGGGAGCAAACAGGAUUAGAUACCCGGGUAGUCCCUGUCUCUUAUAA